rnacentral:rRNA from 1 species
GUCGAGCGGUAGAGAGAAGCUUGCUUCUCUUGAGAGCGGCGGACGGGUGAGUAAUGCCUAGGAAUCUGCCUGGUAGUGGGGGAUAACGUUCGGAAACGGACGCUAAUACCGCAUACGUCCUACGGGAGAAAGCAGGGGACCUUCGGGCCUUGCGCUAUCAGAUGAGCCUAGGUCGGAUUAGCUAGUUGGUGAGGUAAUGGCUCACCAAGGCGACGAUCCGUAACUGGUCUGAGAGGAUGAUCAGUCACACUGGAACUGAGACACGGUCCAGACUCCUACGGGAGGCAGCAGUGGGGAAUAUUGGACAAUGGGCGAAAGCCUGAUCCAGCCAUGCCGCGUGUGUGAAGAAGGUCUUCGGAUUGUAAAGCACUUUAAGUUGGGAGGAAGGGUACUUACCUAAUACGUGAGUAUUUUGACGUUACCGACAGAAUAAGCACCGGCUAACUCUGUGCCAGCAGCCGCGGUAAUACAGAGGGUGCAAGCGUUAAUCGGAAUUACUGGGCGUAAAGCGCGCGUAGGUGGUUCGUUAAGUUGGAUGUGAAAUCCCCGGGCUCAACCUGGGAACUGCAUCCAAAACUGGCGAGCUAGAGUAUGGUAGAGGGUGGUGGAAUUUCCUGUGUAGCGGUGAAAUGCGUAGAUAUAGGAAGGAACACCAGUGGCGAAGGCGACCACCUGGACUGAUACUGACACUGAGGUGCG